UUCCCUGUGGCUCAGUUGGUAGAGCAUGGUGUUUGCAACGCCAGCAUGGUGUGUGCAAUGCCACGGUUGUGGUUUCGAUUCCCACGGGGGACA
rfam:Salmo salar isolate Sally breed double haploid chromosome ssa09, whole genome shotgun sequence.